CGCGGCCUAUCAGCUUGUUGGCGGGGUAAUGGCCCACCAAGGCGACGACGGGUAGCUGGUCUGAGAGGAUGGCCAGCCACAUUGGGACUGAGAGACGGCCCAGACUCCUACGGGAGGCAGCAGUGGGGAAUCUUGCGCAAUGGCCGAAAGGCUGACGCAGCGACGCCGCGUGUGGGAGGACGCCUUUCGGGGUGUAAACCACUGUUGCCCGGGACGAAUAUCCUGUUUAGACAGGAUUGACGGUACCGGGUGAGGAAGCACCGGCUAACUCCGUGCCAGCAGCCGCGGUAAUACGGAGGGUGCGAGCGUUGUCCGGAAUCAUUGGGCGUAAAGGGCGCGUAGGUGGCGGGACAAGCGUGCGGUGAAAGCUCGGGGCUCAACCCCGAGUCGGCCGUGCGAACUGUUUUGCUGGAGCACUGUAGAGGCAGGCGGAAUUCCGGGUGUAGCGGUGGAAUGCGUAGAGAUCCGGAAGAACACCGGUGGCGAAGGCGGCCUGCUGGGCAGUUGCUGACACUGAGGCGCGACAGCGUGGGGAGCAAACAGGAUUAGAUACCCUGGUAGUCCACGCCGUAAACGAUGGGCACUAGGCGCUUGGGGGAGCGACCCCUCGAGGGCCGUAGCUAACGCAUUAAGUGCCCCGC
rnacentral:rRNA from 1 species